rnacentral:tRNA from 1 species
GAGGGUAUAGCUUAGUGGUGCAGCACCUGCCUGCCAAACAUGAGGCUCUGAGUUUGAUUCCUGGUCCCCUUA